rnacentral:rRNA from 1 species
GAUGAACGCUGGCGGCGUGCCUAAUACAUGCAAGUCGAGCAAACAGACGAGGAGCUUGCUCCUCUGACGUUAGCAGCGGACGGGUGAGUAACACGUGGAUAACCUACCUAUAAGACUGGGAUAACUUCGGGAAACCGGAGCUAAUACCGGAUAAUAUAUUGAACCGCAUGGUUCAAUAGUGAAAGACGGUUUUGCUGUCACUUAUAGAUGGAUCCGCGCCGCAUUAGCUAGUUGGUAAGGUAACGGCUUACCAAGGCGACGAUGCGUAGCCGACCUGAGAGGGUGAUCGGCCACACUGGAACUGAGACACGGUCCAGACUCCUACGGGAGGCAGCAGUAGGGAAUCUUCCGCAAUGGGCGAAAGCCUGACGGAGCAACGCCGCGUGAGUGAUGAAGGUCUUCGGAUCGUAAAACUCUGUUAUUAGGGAAGAACAAAUGUGUAAGUAACUAUGCACGUCUUGACGGUACCUAAUCAGAAAGCCACGGCUAACUACGUG